rnacentral:lncRNA from 1 species
UUGUGACUUCCUUUCUUCAUUGAAGCUGUCUGGAUCCUUGUGGGCUAUAUUUGCAUAUUGUAGUUUCACUAUCCAGUGGGAUAUAGAAAUAAGGCAUGCUGCCUGAGACUGUCAAUAGAGAAUUAACUAACUUCCUGAAAAGAAAGAACGUGCUAGACACAAAUGGAGUUUUCUGAUUUACUGCCAGAGAUGUCAGAUCCAUAUCAAUAACUCCUGCUGAAUACAUAGCAAUUCGAGACAGUUCAUCAUGCACUCUACUUGCAGACAGCAUUCUGAAUAGGAGUGAACACAUAAGGAAUCCUUUGCAUACUAGAUGUCCACAAAACUCAAACCAUAAUGAGGAAACUAACUUCCAUCAAGAGUCACAAAUUCUGACAUUAUAUGAAGAUUACUUUUUUGAGUGUUCCUGGAUUGGAAGGUUUCCCAAGAUCCUUGGUCCAAGCAUGAGGACAUCAAGCAGCAGUUGUGUUUCUGGCAUUCCUCCAUCGCUGAAGAAGUGGGUGAGGAUGGGGCAGAGAAGGUCAAGGAAUGGACAGAAUCCUGACUCCACCACAAUAAGUCAGCCAGCAGAGACAGCCAGUGCAAGAUGGGGAGUACUCUACUC